rnacentral:tRNA from 1 species
ACUAUUUUGGCAGAAAAGUGCAGUGGAUUUAGAAUCUAUAAAUAUAGUAUAAACUAUAAAUAGUA